AUGGGAAUUUUCGGGCCUCUAGCCUCCUCAAUGGCAGUGGCACUGGCCAACUGAAACAAGUCAGCAUAUGUCACACCAGCAUAUUUGUCUUUGAUUGGCUGGAGAAGUUUCAGUGCAUUAACAAGUCCAGCAUUUGCUCCAUGUUUUAGUUCAACUUCGAAUCUUAAGCUCCCAUUAGCUCCACCUCUUUGAGGCCAGUCCUCGAUAUUCUUAUUAUAAGUUCCAGCAUCAUGCCAGCCCAAGCGAACCAAAAUA
rnacentral:misc_RNA from 1 species